UGAUUUCAUUCGAAAUGCUCAACAUUCGACGCACAUUGCUUGCAUAAACGGUAUCUGGGGAUUAACUGCACCAAGACUACGGCCGGACAAGCGAAAAUAUAGCCUAAAUUUUAACAUUGCCGCACCCAAAUCCGAGUAAACUCGAUUGCAAUUAUGGGUAUCUUCUUCCAAGAAAAGUGGAACUAUAUUUAUAGUAGACUCUGUGUGUUUCAGACUCAAUUUAUUAUUCAAGAAAUGUGGCAACAGAGCCCAAAUAACUUUAUUUUGUACCAAACAAUGUUAGAGUCGUAGUACUUGUAUAAAGGCAAAAAUAUUUUAUAAAUGAAAUGAGAAAGAAGGAAUUAAAGUACGUUCAAGAGCUAUUGAAAGUAUUUAGAUUCAUGGAUUAGUCAACUGAAAUAUAUUUUCUUCUUUCGA